UGUGUGUGUGUGUGUGUGUGUGUGUGUGUGUGUGUGUGUGUGUGUGUGUGUGUGUGUGUGAAUAUAUAUGUGUGCAUAUAUAUGUGUAUAUAUAUAUAUUUAACCAGUUUUCAAUUUUACCAGGUAUUAUUUUUGGUAUGUUUUAUUUAAGAUUGCCCCUUUUUUUAAGUGUAUUUGUGCUGUACUUUUAUGUCUUUUGGAGGUUUUCUUUUAUCUCCUUCCUUGUUACUGUUUUGAUUUUAUUAAUAAUAAUGGUAUGGAGUUUU